CAGUCGCCACGGGAACACGAAGGGGGCUAGCGUUGUUCGGAAUUACUGGGCGUAAAGCGCACGUAGGCGGAUAUUUAAGUCAGGGGUGAAAUCCCGCAGCUCAACUGCGGAACUGCCUUUGAUACUGGGUAUCUUGAGUAUGGAAGAGGUUAGUGGAAUUGCGAGUGUAGAGGUGAAAUUCGUAGAUAUUCGCAGGAACACCAGUGGCGAAGGCGGCUAACUGGUCCAUAACUGACGCUGAGGUGCGAAAGCGUGGGGAGCAAACAGGAUUAGAUACCCCAGUAGUCCCUGUCUCUUAUAC
rnacentral:rRNA from 1 species